GAACUUGACAAUGCAGCAACGCUUCUACUGAUUGUGAGAAAUCGUGCUUCGAUUUAGAAACAGCAACUGUUGAAGCGAUAACAGAGAGAGAAA